rnacentral:lncRNA from 1 species
UGACAAAGGCACUAAUAAAACUCUAAAGUUUAAAGGUGGCCCUGGUGUUUCCUUGCGAGCAGCGCGGGGACCUUUCACCUCUUGGAGACGCUCUGUUUGCAAAGCCUUAGAAAAGCCGUUUGGAAAGAGGAAGAUACAUGAACACCCACCCUUUUGCCAAGAAGCCACAAGUUCAGACAAAAGGAGCUUUUGAUGCUCUCUAAUCUUGCAAGUUAUCCAGCAUAAACCUGACUCCUAAUUCUGUAUCCUACUCAGUGGACCACAAGCCUCCAUGCUUACCGGUUUGCGAAAGUUUGGUACCUUUCUUAGGUAUUUGCAAGACUUCUGCCUUUUCUGCUGAUCCUUACCAGAGUCUGAGAAGAUCUUUCUGUGGUCAGACUUCUUUUGAAGAAACAUGGGAAAGGGGAUGGAAAGUCAGUUUGUAGCAGUGAACGAGUUAUAAAUAGUAACUGACAGAAUCACACUCUGAAUAGAAAUUCCUUU